CAGUAGCCGCGGGAAUACGUAGGUGGCAAGCGUUGUCCGGAAUUAUUGGGCGUAAAAGGCUCGCAGGCGGUUUCUUAAGUCUAAUGUGAAAGCCCCCGGCUCAACCGGGGAGGGUCAUUGGAAACUGGGAAACUUGAGUGCAGAAGAGGAGAGUGGAAUUCCACGUGUAGCGGUGAAAUGCGUAGAGAUGUGGAGGAACACCAGUGGCGAAGGCGACUCUCUGGUCUGUAACUGACGCUGAGGAGCGAAAGCGUGGGGAGCGAACAGGAUUAGAUACCCCUGUAGUCCCUGUCUCUUAUAC
rnacentral:rRNA from 1 species